rnacentral:rRNA from 1 species
CCUACGGGAGGCAGCAGUGAGGAAUUUUGGACAAUGGGGGAAACCCUGAUCCAGCGACGCCGCGUGAAGGAUGAAGGUCUUCGGAUUGUAAACUUCUUUUAUUUGGGAAUUAAAUCGGAUGAUGUAAGCCACGGCUAACUUCGUGCCAGCAGCCGCGGUAAUACGAAGGUGGCAAGCGUUACUCGGAAUUACUAGGCGUAAAGGGCAGGUAGGUGGUUUGGUAAGUCUAUUGUGAAAGCUCCUGGCUUAACUGGGAGAGGCCAAUGGAUACUGCCGGACUUGAGUAUAGGAGAGGUUACUGGAAUUCCCGGUGUAGCGGUGAAAUGCGCAGAGAUCGGGAGGAACACCAAUGGCGAAAGCAGGUAACUGGACUAUACUGACACUCAGCUGCGAAAGCUAGGGGAGCAAACAGGAUUAGAUACCCUUGUAGUC